UCCUGAACAUGUGUUUGCCUUUGUGUUAGAGAAACAGCAGGGAGCUAGCUAACACUGCUAAGAACUCUGCAAUGGUUUCAAGCAUGGGGAAAAUAUAUUAUGAUGCAACUCUUAUAGGGUUAACACAACAAGAAACAAAUGUCCCUCCUUAGAUCAUUUUACCUGUGAUAACAAGAAGAGUGCAUAUGGAGGGUUGACUGAUUUCAGCCAGGUGAAUACCAAUGGAGCACACAGCCUUCCAUGUUGAGUAAGAGGCAUGUUUUGCAGUGUAUUUUUUAAGAUGCCACAUCAGUGAUACAUGCAAAAGCAGCUUGAUUUCUCAAACCUAGUGACUUCCAUUGGAAACUGGGUGUCCAUCUGCAUUUACACGCCUUUCAAAAGGAUAAUCCAGCUCUCUUCAGUGGCACUGCAGAGGCAUAGCCCUUUUUGCACCUCUGCUCCCUGCCCAUGCAUGUCAUUCCCCCAAGCCCCCUUGCUGCUUUCACCCAAAUAUAAAUAAAAAGGAAAAUCUGCUUCAUUACAUUUGCUAGCAUUAAUUGAUGUUUAAAAAAGUCUGUUAAAAAUAAAGCCCAGCAGUGACAUUUUUCUUUGCUAAAGCACGAUAGCAGCACAUUACAAACAUUACAAAAAGGUCCCCUGACAGGAUUGUGAAGUUCCACUCUGGCAGUAAAAAGCAUCUACUGUAUAUUCCCUGAUUUUUUAUUUUAUUUUAUUAUUUAUUUAUUUAUUUAUUAAUGCAUGACAGGUCACAAACACAGAUAAAGCUCCCUGUCUUAGCAGCAGGGCUGCAAUAUUGAAUGAGGGAACUGGAUGGACGCAGUGUAUUUUUAGCAUUUGUUUUACCCCGGUCAAAUAAGUGUUCCUAUUUACUGGUGGCAAUGACGCUCACAGCUAUUCAAUCCCAGCUUGACAUUUUCCCUAUGGCUGCACCUCUCCUGCUUUUGCAUGAGUUGGGUGGUUCUGAAGGAUGCAACACUUCAUGCCCAGAGGUCCUUAUGACAUUUUAGAACAAUGCAUUAAUCAGGCUGCUGGUCUCCUGAGGUACAACCAGAGCAGCAGAAAACUAAGGAACCACAGAACCCAGCCCACUCACCCAUUCUCCAAGAAAUCUCUCCCUGUGCCAGCUGACAUACUGGUUUCUGGGAAAACAGUCUCAAGCCAAGUAAAAGACUGCAUUGCUUUCAGGGAAGCUCCUAAUCAAAAGAGAAGAAGAAAUACUUUCUGCCUUUUACAGGACUUAACAAUCAAGCAAUGAAUCAAGUAUGCUGCAGAGAGAGAAGCUAUAAAAACAGCAAUAUGGAUACAUGUGUAUUAAUAAAAGAUACAUGCAUAUGCAUUUCAAA